rnacentral:rRNA from 1 species
ACCAAGGCAACGAUCCGUAGCUGGUCUGAGAGGAUGAUCAGCCACAUCGGGACUGAGACACGGCCCGAACUCCUACGGGAGGCAGCAGUGGGGAAUAUUGGACAAUGGGGGCAACCCUGAUCCAGCCAUGCCGCGUGUGUGAAGAAGGCCCUCGGGUUGUAAAGCACUUUCAGCGAGGAAGAACGCCUAUCGGUUAAUACCCGGUAGGAAAGACAUCACUCGCAGAAGAAGCACCGGCUAACUCCGUGCCAGCAGCCGCGGUAAUACGGAGGGUGCAAGCGUUAAUCGGAAUUACUGGGCGUAAAGCGCGCGUAGGUGGCUUGAUAAGCCGGUUGUGAAAGCCCCGGGCUCAACCUGGGAACGGCAUCCGGAACUGUCAGGCUAGAGUGCAGGAGAGGAAGGUAGAAUUCCCGGUGUAGCGGUGAAAUGCGUAGAGAUCGGGAGGAAUACCAGUGGCGAAGGCGGCCUUCUGGACUGACACUGACACUGAGGUGCGAAAGCGUGGGUAGCAAACAGGAUUAGAUACCCUGGUAGUCCACGCCGUAAACGAUGUCGACCAGCCGUUGGGUGCCUAGAGCACUUUGUGGCGAAGUUAACGCGAUAAGUCGACCGCCUGGGGAGUACGGCCGCAAGGUUAAAACUCAAAUGAAUUGACGGGGGCCCGCACAAGCGGUGGAGCAUGUGGUUUAAUUCGAUGCAACGCGAAGAACCUUACCUACCCUUGACAUCUACAGAAGCCGGAAGAGAUCUCUGGGUGCCUUCGGGAACUGUAAGACAGGUGCUGCAUGGCUGUCGUCAGCUCGUGUUGUGAAAUGUUGGGUUAAGUCCCGUAACGAGCGCAACCCUUGUCCUUAUUUGCCAGCGGGUAAUGUCGGGAACUCUAAGGAGACUGCCGGUGACAAACCGGAGGAAGGUGGGGACGACGUCAAGUCAUCAUGGCCCUUACGGGUAGGGCUACACACGUGCUACAAUGGCCGGUACAAAGGGCUGCGAGCUCGCGAGAGUCAGCGAAUCCCUUAAAGCCGGUCUCAGUCCGGAUCGGAGUCUGCAACUCGACUCCGUGAAGUCGGAAUCGCUAGUAAUCGUGAAUCAGAAUGUCACGGUGAAUACGUUCCCGGGCCUUGUACACACCGCCCGUCACACCAUGGGAGUGGACUGCACCAGAAGUGGUU